GAAAUGCGAUAAGUAAUGUGAAUUGCAGAAUUCAGUGAAUCAUCGAAUCUUUGAACGCACAUUGCGCCCCCCGGUAUUCCGGGGGGCAUGCCUGUCCGAGCGUCAUUACUGCCCUCAAGCGCGGCUUGUGUGUUGGGCCCUCGCCCCCCCCGGGGGCGUGCCCGAAAGGCAGUGGCGGCGCCGUGCCCGGUCCUCGAGCGUAUGGGGCUCUGUCACCCGCUCUGGAGGCCCGGCCGGCCGCCGCCGACCCCACCCGACCUCUUAACCGGUUGACCUCGGAUCAGGCAGGGAUACCCGCUGAGUUUAA
rnacentral:misc_RNA from 1 species